UAACCUGCCCAAGAGAUCGGGAUAACACCUGGAAACAGAUGCUAAUACCGGAUAACAACAGAUGAUGCCUAUCAACUGUUUAAAAGAUGGUUCUGCUAUCACUCUUGGAUGGACCUGCGGUGCAUUAGCUAGUUGGUAGGGUAACGGCCUACCAAGGCGAUGAUGCAUAGCCGAGUUGAGANACUGAUCGGCCACAUUGGGACUGAGACACGGCCCAAACUCCUACGGGAGGCAGCAGGU
rnacentral:rRNA from 1 species